GAAUCACCUGGGGUAGUUGUGAAAAAUACAGAUUCCCAGGUGGCUAGUCCCAGAGAAUUCCGUAGCUUGGGGCCCAGGAAUUUCUCUGCAUUUUUAACAGGCACCAGAUGAUUCUGAAGAUGGUCCGAGAACCAAGCUUUGAGAAACACUGGUCUGAAUCCUCUGGAAGAAGUUGGGACAGUGACUUUCAACCGUUAGGUGUCACUCAAAGCAUAAUUAGCUACCACCAGAUGCUCUUGGAAUUUGGAUAAAUUCAUCAAAAAAAAAAAAAAAAUUACUGUUGUCUUUUGAAAAUCACAGUCCUUAAUUCUUUUGAGUAAUCCUGACAUUAUAGCAGGGCCAGAUUUAGAGAAAUGCUUUCUUUCUAGGAAGCCUAGUUUCAACAUUUAUUUGGGGUUUAAGAUCUCCCUACUUUGAGAAAGGACUUGAGACAUUUAUAACAACACACAUACAAAAUAGAAUGAUGAAAAUGAGAAACGAUUUUUUGUUUUAAAGGUCAGAGGCCAAGUAGGAGGACAGAUGUGUUAGGAAUCUGGGAUGAGUUAGUUACUACUAUGAGCACUAAAGUUUCUGGCCACUAAAGCAAAAUUAAAGCAGGAAAUUCCAAUACAGUGAUCCUUGGAUAUUUGUUAGGAGUAUGUCCCCCAAACCUUUGGAAAUCCUCAGAUUUUGGACUUUCUAGGGCGUAAGUUUUCUCCACAGAACAGGUACACCGUCAUGAGUGGGAACAAGGAGACCACAUUGAAAUCUGAAUGCUGGGUGGCAGGAGAGGCUCUUCACUAGCCCCAGAGAUUCUGUCCCACAUACCAGCCUCAGUGCCUGUGGGUCAGAUUCCCACCACUGGAACAUUAUGUGUCACAGACAAUUAGAAGUUCUUAUUCAGACUUAAUCUGUGAACGUCAAGGGUCUACUUUGUUUAAAAUUUGAGAAUUCUUAUCCGGUACCUUUGAUGCUGAUUUAUAAAGAGAUAAGGAGAAGAUAAAGGCAGUGGGGUUGAUAGUUCCAGAAAUUCUGGUUACCUGUACAAUAUCAAGUCAGUUAUAAAAAGUUUCUUUGAUGUGAAAUUUGAAUGGAGUAUUUUAAGGCAUAAUAUUCUCUUCCUUCUUUUCAUAGACAUAUCCAUUAUCAUGUUCACAUGAGUAAAAAGUAAAAAGUCCUGGAAAAGCAUGGGAAAACCUGGAAUCUAAUCCUGCCUCUGGCAUUUACCAAGAUGGGGUUUGAGAUCAACUACUUGAUCUCUCUGAGUCUCAUUUUCUCCCUUUAUAAGAAAUGGAAGACUUGAAACCAGAUGCCUACUUGAGCAAAUACUUCAGAGAAGAUCUUCAUUUAGAGGAUAAUCAGCAAAAAAAAGGGUGGCUGUCACCUCUUGGCACUUCCAGCCAAUGUUGUGAGCCAGGCAUCCCAGAUGGACAAACUCUCAUGGACGAGACACAGUCUCCAGGGCAGCAGUAAACAUCAACUGACUUUUUCUUGUCAGAGGGUGGUGCGCUCCCAUCCAACAGCCUGAGGUGGUCAGAGCCACCUGGCCUUCUUCAUCUGGUGGGCAGAGGUCUCUACUGUUCGCCCAAAGAUGUGGUAGGGGCCCAGGACCAGUUGGUGUCCAUACACUUGUGGAGGAAGGCCAGAAUAUGUGCUGACCUUCAGGCAGUCGUGUGCUAGGCACUGGAGAUGUGAAGAUGAACAAGACACGAUUAGUGACUCCAGGAACUCAUCGUGUACAAUUUCAGAAUUCUGGACUUCCAGGGGCAAGUACGGAGUGCUGUGGGCUGGGCACAUGAAAAUCAAUUGUUCUGUAUUUGGGACGUGGAGAGGGCUUUAGUUUGAGUUUAAAAGGAGCAUAGACACAGAAAUAGAGAAGACUAUCCCAGAAAGUGGGAUCAGCAAGUGCUAGGUGGAUUGUGGGAAUGGUGAGGGGUAUCUGGGAUAGCAGAAGAAGAGAUAGCUGGGAGAGCAGGUUGGGGAGAACUUCACCGGAAAGAGAGUUGGGAAGCUUUUAAGCAAGAGGGUGAUAGGGAGGAUCUUCCUCCUUAUCUAACAGGUUGAGUCAUUCACUGAUACUGACAAAGGAAUUAUACUUGAACUAACACUUAACUAACUGCAUGU